rnacentral:rRNA from 1 species
GACGAACGCUGGCGGCGUGCCUAAUACAUGCAAGUCGAACGCAGUGGGGACGGGUGGGUAACACGUGGGUAACCUCCCAUCAGAGGGGAUCACACUGGGAAAAAGGUGCUAAACCGAUACUGAUGGAUGGACCCGCGGUGCAUUAGCUAGUUGGUGAGGUAACGGCUCACCAAGGCCACGAUGCAUAGCCGCCCGGGGAGGGUGAUCGGCCACACUGGGACUGAGACACGGCCCAGACUCAUACGGGAGGCAGCAGUAGGGAAUCUUCGGCAAUGGACGAAAGUCGGACCGAGAAACGCCGGGUGAGUGAAGAAGGUUUUCGGAUCGUAAAACUCUGUUGUUAGAGAAGCGGUAUCUAACCAGAAAGCCACGGCUAACUACGUGCCAGCAGCCGCGGUAAUAC